CCAUGAAUUCUUUCUUGAUAUUUAAUUUUACAAUAAAAUUGUUUCUUUAGUCUAUAAUUUGAUUUAGAUAGCAUUACUAAUUUAAAGUGCAUAUAACCUCAUGCUAUAUGACACAAAAAUUAAUAAUUUAUUGUCUUCUCAUUAAAAAGCAAAGUAUCAUUAAAACACAAAAUAAAUAUCUGAAGAGUACCUUUCCAAGAAAGAGAAAUAGCCACAUAAAAGAAUACUUUCCAGGGGCCAGGGAUUUAGCUUAGUGGUGCCACACUUGCCUCGAAACCACAUGGACCUGAAUUCAAUCCUCAGUACUUGGGACAAAAGAAAAGGAGAAAGAAUACUUUCCUAUAAACAUUAAAUGGCUGAUUAUUGAGUAACACAUAAUCUCAGUAAUCUGAUUUUAUCUAAACCGUUAGGUUUUAUUUUCUCUUAAAAAUACCACUGUAAUAAUGUAGAUUGAGUUUUAAAGAUCCAAACUUGAUGAUGAUUCCUGUCUACUAUAAGUAAUAAAAAGGUUAUUACAUGUUUAAAAUAGUCUUACCAUCUCACUCCAUCAGUGAAUGAAGUACAUAUAUAGGCAAGCAGGAAAUGUUAAAUAUACAUGGUUAUAAUACAUGUUUUGAAAAGUUUCAAAUACCUUGGGCCAUUCUCAUUCAAUUUAUACAAAAUCAGCUAAAUUCUGACCUUUGUAAAUGGAUUCAAAAUAAUUAGCACUGUUUACUACAUACACCUAUGUCUCUCCUUGAAUGAAUAUUUAUAGUCGUAAAAUGAGUAAGUCUAGCAUCUUCAGUUUUACUUAUACUCAUUUUUUCCCUCCAAAAUUCAGCCUCUGCUCAGUUCUGUCAGCACCUCACAUCAUGUUGUAUAAACAAAGUGGCAUACAGUGUCAUAAAACAAAAAGCUCUGGACUAAAGAACAAACCAAUUGGGUUAAAGCUUCAUCACUCACCUGAUAUCCUUGAAACUUUAGUAUAUACAUUUUCAAACUCUGGGGAUGUGUGAGAGAGGAUUUCAUUGUUUCUGCAUAAAAAUAAAAUCUUUCCAAAAGAAGAUAGUGAUAAAGGUUUGUACAAUUCAAAUUCAAGCAUCUUGGUAGAGAUGAACAUUUUCCUGUUUAUAGUUCAUCAGUCAAACUACGGUUUCAUCAACUGCAAGAGAUUUUUUUAACCAAUUUUGAAAGAAUGACUGUGGAGGAGAUAUAGGUAUAUGAGGCUCUCUUCAAAGACAGAAAAUGUUGUGAUGUGAAGAAGAUGAUAAGACCCCAUGCUCAAAAAUAUCUUCCACAUAUGUAGGGCCUGAAAUUCCCACCAG
ensembl:lncRNA